AAGAAUACUCAAUUGUAAGAAAUGUAAUAAAAGGUUGGGAACCAUUAGGUGCAUAAUCUAGAUUCAAAUAAGUCUAAGCAUGUGCUACCUACAAUAAUAUUAUACUUAGUUCUUUCUUCUUCUCCCACCCGUGAACCCCCGUCGUCUUCUUCUUCUUCUUCCCUUACCCUGCCGUCGCUGCCUGUCUCCCAUAACCAAAAUCUUUCAACGCCUGCCCGUCAAGACACGUCGUCUCAGCUCAGGUAGCUGCACGCCGUCGAUCGUCCGUCGAAGCUGAAGUGUCUCUGUCUCCUCAAGCUUCAACAGUCGCGAGUUAGUGAAUGUGUUUUCACUUCGGUCGGUGUUCGUUGAUGAAGCUUUUCCGUCACACCACGUUUCCCCUACCUUCGUUGGCUUCUCCGUCAAGUCUUCCUAUCCGACCGAGCUACCCAUAGAUUCGCGACGUUUGAUCUUCGCGCAAGCCGUCUAUGAGCCGUGCGCGUCGAGCUUCUUCCCCAAGCUAGUCGCCAUAUAUGUUUUGCACAUCGUUUUGAUUCUGUUCGUACGUCGCUACCACUUGUACCUUGCCGUGAGUUGCUAGAUUUACUUUUGGUACUAAUUGAGCUUAGUGAGCGGAUCCUUGGUUUGCAAUAGGUUGAGUUGGAUUCAUCUCCCCAUUUGAGGAUUUAAUUGUUGGAAUUAAUUCGACCAAGGAUCUUGCAUAAAAUCGAGACAAAGGUAACUCGAGGGACAGACCGACGAAGGACAAGAAGGAGCUGUGAUUGCCAUAGGGGAAAUGUCUUUUAAACUGCUUCCGCUGAUGGUUUUAAAUUCUUGUUGUGAUUGAACUGAGUUUACGAAUAGUUAUUUUGGUAAACAAUACUUUAGAUUUUUAUUUGUUUGAAACAGGGCUCGAAUAAAGUUUUCUUUAAUUUUCUUAUUGUUUUAACUAAAGUUUACUAUGUCUUGUGUCAAACAAAUUGUUUUUUUGCUAAAAUAAUGACUUCGACUUAGAUAGAAAAGUUGAGUUGUUACACUUUAACUGUAUGAAACUAUAUUUUCUUCCUAUGACUACUUUAUGGUAUUUUGAAUAAUUGAUUGAA